rnacentral:rRNA from 1 species
UGGGGAAUUUUGACAAUGGGCGAAAGCCUGAUCCAGCAAUGCCGCGUGUGUGAAGAAGGCCUUCGGGUUGUAAAGCACUUUUGUCCGGAAAGAAAUCCUUGGCUCUAAUACAGUCGGGGGAUGACGGUACCGGAAGAAUAAGCACCGGCUAACUACGUGCCAGCAGCCGCGGUAAUACGUAGGGUGCAAGCGUUAAUCGGAAUUACUGGGCGUAAAGCGUGCGCAGGCGGUUUGCUAAGACCGAUGUGAAAUCCCCGGGCUCAACCUGGGAACUGCAUUGGUGACUGGCAGGCUAGAGUAUGGCAGAGGGGGGUAGAAUUCCACGUGUAGCAGUGAAAUGCGUAGAGAUGUGGAGGAAUACCGAUGGCGAAGGCAGCCCCCUGGGGCCAAUACUGACGCUCAUGCACGAAAGCGUGGGGAGCAAACAGGAUUAGAUACCCUGGUAGUCCACGCCCUAAACGAUGUCAACUAGUUGUUGGGGAUUCAUUUCCUUAGUAACGUAGCUAACGCGUGAAGUUGACCGCCUGGGGAGUACGGUCGCAAGAUUAAAACUCAAAUGAAUUGACGGGGUCAUAGCUGUUUCCU